GACAGAGGGUGCAAACGUUGUUCGGAAUUACUGGGCGUAAAGCGAGUGUAGGCGGUUUGGUAAGUCGGAUGUGAAAGCCCCGGGCUCAACCCGGGAAGUGCACUCGAUACUGCCAAGCUAGAGUAUCGGAGAGGUUGGUGGAAUUCUCGGUGUAGAGGUGAAAUUCGUAGAUAUGGGGAGGAACACCGGUGGCGAAGGCGGCCACCUGGACGGUAACUG
rnacentral:rRNA from 1 species